CAAGAUACAAGAAAAAACAAAAGCAUUCAGCACGCACACUCAGGUGUGUGGCCUUUCUGUCCUCUCGUUAGGAUUCUGGUGAGUUUUUUUUUUUUUUUUUUUUUUGAGAUGGAGUUUUGCUCGUUGCCCAGGCUGGAGUGUAAUGGUGCGAUCUCAGCUCACUGCAACCUCUGCCUCCUGGGUUCAAGCAGUUCUCCUGCCUCAGCCUCCCAAGUAGCUGGGAUUAUAGGCAUGAACCACCACACCUGGCUAAUUUUUAUUUUAUUUUAUUUAUUUAUUUUUUGAGAUGGAGUCUCAGUCUGUUACCAGGGCUGGAGUCCAGUGGUGUGAUCUCCGCUCACUGCAACCUCCACCUCCCAUGUUCAAGCGAGUCUUCUGCCUCAGCCUCCCAAGUAGCUGGGAUUACAGGCAUGAGCCACCACGCCUGGCUAAUGUUUUGUAUUUUUAGUAGAGACAGGGUUUCACCAUGUUGGCCAAGCUGGUCUCAAACUCCCGACCUCGGGUGAUUUGCCGGCCUCGGCCUCCCAAAGUGCUGGGAUUACAGGCAUGAGCCACUGCGCCCAGCCAGUGAAAGAAAUUUCUAAGCAGCAAACUGUUCAAAAUGUGACCUGGAUGCUGUUAAAAGCAUUCAGUUUUAUGUAUUCACAAAGAUAUGGUUUGGAAUUGGAACUUAUGUUUAAAAGGGAAGCCAACCAUAAAAGACUGAAAAAUUUGCAGCGUGAUGAUGCCAUAAAACAGAAAAGCCCAUUUUCUGAGGAGAAAUUUAAGCUGGCUGCAGAAAUUUGCAUAACAAGGAGCCAAAUGUUAAUCACCAAGACAGUGGGGAAAAUGUCUCCAGGGCAUGUCAGACGUCUUCAGGGCAGCCCCUCCCAUCACAGGCCCCGAGGCCUAGGAGGAAAAAAUGGUUUAGUGGACCAGACCCAGGGCCUUGCUGCUUUGUGUAGUCUCGGGUGCCCUGCCUCCCAGCCAUGGCUAAAGGAGCCAAGGUACAGCUCAGACUGUUGCUUCAGAGGGUGCAAGCCCCAAGCCUUGGCAGUUUCCAUGUGGUAUUGGGCCUGCAGAUGCCCAGAAGUCAAGAAUUGAGGUUUGGGAGCUAGGUGCAAUGGCUCACGCCUGUAAUCCCAACACUUUGGGAGGCCGAGGCAAGUGGAUCACCUGAGGUCAGGAGUUUGAGACCAGCCUGGCCAACAUGGUGAAACCGUGUCCCUACUAAAAAUACAAAAAUUAGCCAAGCAUGGUGGUGCACGCCUCUAGUCCCAGCUACCUGGGAGGCUGAGGUGGGAGAAUCACUUGAACCUGGGAGGCAGAAGUUGCAGUGAGCCAAGAUCAUGCCACUGCACUCCAGCCUGGGUGACAGAGCAAGACGCCAUCUCAAACAUAAAUAAAUUAAUAAAUUAAAAAUUCAGGUUUAGGAACCUCUGCCUGGAUUUCAGAGGAUGUAUAGGAACUACUGGAUGUCCAGGCAGAAGUGUGCUGCAGGGGUAGAGUCUUCACAGAGAACCUCUGCUAGGGCAAUACGGAAGGGAAAUGUGGGGUUGGAUCCCUCCACAGGGUCCCUACUAGGGCACUGCCUAGUGGAGCUGUGAGAAAAGGGCCACCAUCCUCCAGACCCCAGAAUGGUAGAUCCACCGACAACAGCUUGCACCAUGGACCUGGAAAAGCCACAGACACUUGUCACAAGCCUGUGAAAGCAGCUGGGAGGGGGGCUGUACCCUGCAUAGCCACAGGGGUGGAGCUGCCCAAGGCCUUGGGAACCCAGCUCUUGCAUCAGUGUGAUCUGGAUGUGAGACAUGGAGUCAAAGGAGAUCAUUUUGGAGCUUUAAGAUUUGACUGCCCUGUUGGAUUUCAGAUUUGCCUGGGGCCUGUAGCCCCUUUGUUUUGGCCAAUUUCUCCCAUUUGGAAUAGGUGUAUUUACCCAAUGCCUGUACCCCCACUGUAUCUAGGAAGUAACUCACUUGGCUUUUGAUUUUACAGGCUUAUAGGCAGAAGGGACUUGCUUUGUCUCAGAUGAGACUCUGGACUUGGACUUUUGGGUUAAUGCUGGAAUGAGUUAAGACUUUGGGGGAUGGCUGGAAGGGCAUGAUUGUGUUUUGAAUUGUGAGGACAUGCGGUUUAGGAGGGGCCAGAGGUGGAAUGAUAUGGUUGGGCUGUGUCCCCACCCAAAUCUUAUCUUGAAUUGUAGUUCCCAUAAUCCCCACAUGUUGUGCACGGGACCCAGUGGAAUGGCCGAAUCAUGGGCGUGGUUCCUGCCAUCCUGUUCUCUUGAAAGUGAGUUCUCAUGAGAUCUGAUGGUUUUAUAAGGGGCUUCCCCCUUCACUGGGCACUAAUUUCUCUCUCCUGCUGCCAUGUGAAGAAGCACAUGUUUGCGUCCUUACCCACCAUGAUUGUAAGUUUCCUGAGGCCUCGCCAGCCUUGUGGAACUGCAAGUCAAUUAAACCUCUUUUCUUUAUAAAUUACCCACUCUCAGGCAGUCCUUUAUAGCAAUGUGAGAAUGGACUAAUGCAGAUGGGAAAACGGCAAAAUUCUUAAUGUCCUCUAUUUUAUUUUUACGGUUUCAAGUACUAUUUUGUGCCAACACUGUCCUGUUUUCCCUUCUAAUCGGCCUCUUAAGAGGGAGAGGCCAGGCUCAGGGUUAACUGUUCCCGUGUGGUGGUUACCAUCAGCCUCUGUGCCGUUUGGUGGAAGGGGUGUCACUGCCCAUCAUAAACCAAGCCCAUCUAAGCCUGGGCCCCUUUCUGGAUUCUUGGCCCCCUUUGUCUGUCCACUGCCAUGCUCUCUGCACAGUGGUGGCUUUUUGGUAAGCUGGAGUUUUUUUUCUUUCUUUCUUUCUUUUUGGAGACACUGUCUUGCUCUGUUUCCCAGGCUGGAGUGCAGUGGCGCCAUCUUGGCUCACUGCAGCCUCAACCUCCCAGGCUCAGGUGAUCCUCCCGCCUCAGCCUCCCAAGUAGCUGGGACUCACAGGUGUGCUGUGUGCCACCAUGCUCAGCUAAUUUUUAUUUUUUUGUAGAGAUGGGGUCUCCCUGUUAUUUUCAGGAAAUUCUCACAUCUGGUAGAGUAGGGCCUCAUUGUUUAAGAGCAUCUUGGCUCUUCCCAGUCCUUUGCGUUUCCAUAUAAACCUUGGAAGCAGCUGUUGAGUCUCUAAAACAAAACCAAAUUCUGAGUAGCCCUGCAGUCUGUGACGUCUUCCUGUACUGAGCCUUCCCACCUGGGGACAUGCAGUAUUUCCUCCUUUACCUAGGACUUGCGUCUCUUGUGUUUUUGUAGAUUUUCUAUGUUGUGCUCUUGCAUGUAUUUUUUUCGGUUCUUUUUAUAUAUGAUUGUUGCUUUUAUACUAUUAUGCAUUAUCAUUUUCUCUCCUCAAUUUCAUUUGCUGUCUGUCAGGGUUGGAAUUGUUUUCUAGACAGGCUGAGAUAACUAAGUAUGAAGUAAUGUGUUCCCUUUACUCUAUGAUUCUGUUUCUAAAACAGUUUUAUUGAUUUAUAAUUUAUAGAGCAUAAAAUUCUCUCACUGUUAAGUGUGCAAGUCGGUGACAGGAAAUGCGUGUUGUGCAGCCAGCACUGCCCUCCGCCUUUCCCACAUGAGCUGUACACUCUGCAUCUGGUUUCUUCCCUGGAUGCGGUGUUUUGGAGGCUCAUCCAUGCCGUGACACGGAGUAAUGCUUCGUGCUUUGCAGCUGAACGAUGCUCCGCUCUGUGGCCACAUUUGUUCAUGGCGCCUCCUUAGUUGCUGGAGGCUUGGACUGUUUCCAUUUGGGGUUACUGUGAAAAAUGCUACUCUAUUUGUGUGCAAGUCUUUGGACACAGGUUUCAUUUUUCUUGGGUACAGUCUUAGGAGUGGAGUUGCUGGUUCAUAGUGUUGUAUCUCCUUUAAAAAACUGUUUUCUAGUGUGGGCAUAAUUUUUUUUUUUUUUGAGACAGAGUCUUGCUCUGUCCCCCAGGCUGAAGUGCAGUGGCGUGAUCUUGGCUCACUGCAAGCUCUGCCUCCUGGGUUCAUGCCAUUCUCCACCCUCAGCCUCCUGAGUAGCUGGGACUACAGGCACCCACCACCACGCCUGGCUAAUUUUUUGUAUUUUUAGUAGAGAUGGGGUUUCACCGUGUUAGCCAGGAUGGUCUCGAUCUCCUGACCUCGUGAUCCAUCUGCCUCGGCCUCCCAAAGUGCUGGGAUUACAGGCGUGAGCCACCACACCCGGCCCCCAUAUUUUUUUAGACAGAAUCUCACUCUUAUCGCCCAGGCUGGAGUGCAGUGGCACAAUCUCGGCUCACUGCAACCUCCACCUCCUGGGUUCAAGCGAUUCUCUUGCCUCAGCCUCCUGAGUAGCUGGGAUUACAGGCACCCACCAUCAUGCCCAGCUAAUUGUUUUAUUUUUAGUGGAGAUGGAGUUUCACCACGUUGGCCAGGCUGCUCUCGAACUCCUGACCUCAGGUGAUCUGCCCACCUUGGCCUCCCAGAGUGCUGGGAUUACAGGUGUGAGCCCCCACGCCCAGUCGAGUGUACUGUUUUACAAAGUAUGCAAGUUGCAGUUGUCCCACAUUCUCACCAGCAUUUGGUAUGUUCCUGUAAACUAUUCUAACUCAUGUUUUUCUGUUAACUAGUGAUGUCAAACCUCUUCAUGUGUUUAUUGGCCAUUCUUAUGUCAGUCUUUGGUGACAUAAUCUAAGUCAAUCUUUUUGUUUUUAUUUUUUUAACAUGUACAAAGCUGCUGGUUACCCAUUUUUAAUUGGGUAUGUUCUUGAGUUGUAAGACUUUGUAUAUUACUUAUAACUCUUAGUGAUGGAUCAACAAGCGGGAAAAAAAAAAGACUGGCAAAUAUUUUUCCCAGCCUGUAGCUUCUCUAUUUUUUUAAAAAAAGCUGUCUUUUGGCCCAGUGUGGUGGCUCACAUCUAUAAUCCCAGCACUUUGGGAGGCUGAGGCUGGAGGGUUGCUUAAGCCCAAGAUUUCAAGACUGGCCUAGGCAACAUAGCAAGACCCCAUCUCUACAAAAAAUACAAAAAUUAGCCACACAUGGUGGUAUGCACCUGUGGUCCCAGCUACUCGGGAGGCUUAGGCUGGAUCUGGAGGAUUGCUUGAGGCUGCAGUGAGCCACGAUCAUGCCACUACACUCCAGCCUGGGUAACGGGGCAAAGCCUCAUCUCAAAAAGAAAAAAAAAAAGUUGUCUUUUUAAAGUACAAAAGUUUUUCACUGUGACAAGUUCCAACUGAUUUUUUCUUUCCUAUAACAACUCUUUGCCUAACCCAAGAUGACAGAGAUGUUCUCCUGCAGCUGCUUCUGAAAGUCUGAUGGCUUCAGCUAUUGCAUUUAGGUCUGUGAUCCGUUUUGAGUUAGUUUAUGAGGAUAUGAGGAAGGGUCUCGAGUCACUUCUUCCACAGAUACCUAAUUGUCCCAACACCAUGUGUUAGACUCUCCUUUUCCCAACUGAAAUGUCUUGGCAUCUUUGUUGAAAAAUCAGAUGGCCUCGAAUACAAGGAUUUAUUCUAGACUCCGACCUGCUGGUCUCCAUGCCCUUCCUUGUACCACUGUCACACUUUAUUUUUGAGAUGGAGUCUUGCUCUUGUGGCCCAGGCUGGAGCGCAGUGGCACAAUCUCAGCUCACUGCAACCUCCACCUCCUGGUUCAAGCGAUUCUCCUGCCUCAGCCUCCCGAUUAGCUGGGAUUACAGGCAUGCACCACCACACCCGGCUAAAUUUUGUAUUUUUAGUAGAGACAGGAUUUCAGCAUGUUGGCCAGGCUGGUCUCAAACUCCUGACCUGAGGUGAUCCACCCACCUUGGCCUCCCAAAGUACUGGGAUUGCAGAGUGUGAGCCACUGUGCCCGGCCCACACUUUUUUUUUUUUUUUUUUGAGACAGAGUCUCACUCUGUCACCCAGGCUGAAGUGCAGUGGCAUGAUCUCAGCUCACUGCAACCUUCGCCUUUUGGGUUCAAGCAGUUCUUCUGCUUCAGCCUCCUGAGUAGCUGGGACUACAGACACCCGCCACCACACCUGGCUAAUUUUUGUACUUUUAGUAGAGACGGGAUUUCAGCAUAUUGCCCAGGCUGGUUUUGAACUCCUGACCUUGUGAUCUCCCUGCCUCGGCCUCCCAAAGUGCUGGGAUUACAGGUGUGAGCCACCAUGCCUGGCCUGCCACUCACACUUUAUAGUGAGUUUUGAAAUCAGGCAGCCUGAGCCCUCCAACUCAUCCUGUUUCAAACCUGUUGUGGCUUGUCUAGAUUCUUGUAUUUCCAUAUAAAUUUAGAAUCUGCUUGUCUGCUUGUCACUUUCUCCAAAAUACCUGGUGGGAUUUUUUUUUUUUUUUUUUUUUUUUUUUUGAGACAGAGUCUCGCUCUGUUGCCCAGGCUGGAAUGCAGUGGCGCAAUCUUGGUUCGCUGCAAGCUCUGCCUCCCAGGUUCACGCUGUUCUCCUGCCUCAGCCUCUGGAGUAGCUGGGAUUACAGGCGCCUGCCACCACACCCAGCUAAUUUUUUUUUUUUUUUUUUUUUGAUUUUUAGUAGAGCUGCGGUUUCACCGUGUUAGCCAGGAUGAUCUCUAUCUAUCUCCUGACCUUGUGAUUCGCCCUCCUCUGCCUCCCAAAGUGCUGGGAUUACAGGUGUGAGCCACUGUGUCUGGCCCCUGAUGGGAUCUUAAUAGGGACUUCAUGGGAUCUAUGGGCCCAUCUGGGGAGACAGAAAUCUUAAUAGGAGUCUCCUACCCAAUGAACAUGGGCUGUCUUUCCAUUUCUCUCAGCAAUGUCUCGUAUUUUCAGUGUAUAAAUCUUCAGUUUCCUUCACCAAGGUGGCCCCUAAGUGUGUGUUCUCGUUUCCAUGCUAGUGAAUGGCGUCUUAGUUUUGUUUGGAUUGUUCGUAGUCUAUAGAAAGGCAAUGAAUCUGUUAACUCUGGGUCCCGGGGCCCAGCUGAACUUCCUUGUUCCGGUUGUGUGUGUCCCGUAGGCCUUGCUAUGUAGAGGAUCCUCGUGCUAUGAACAGACACUUUUACCUUUUCCUUUCCUCUAUAUAUAUAUAUAUAUAUAUAUAUAUAUAUAUAUAUAUAUAUAUUUAGCAUCUUAUUAAACCCCUUGUUCCUGCCUUUAGAGGGAACCAUCGUCACCCACCAUGAAUUACGCUGCCAGCUGUGUUUCUCACGGAUGCUAUGGGAGGCAGAAUAGUGCUCACCGCAAAGAUGGCCACAUUCUAACCCCUGGGCCCUGGGAUGAUGUGAGGCCACACCAACAAGAGGCGGUGCCAAUUUCAGGUCAGUUCCCCAAAAUGGAGUAGCAUGGCUUUUCCAGAUGAACCUAGGGAGCUGCGCGGUCCUUAAAAGCAGAGGAGGAGUUGCCUUGAGGCACGGAGGACUCGACCUGCUGUUGCUGGCUUUGAAGAUGGCAGGAAGGGCCACGAGCCAAGGGUGCCUGUGGAAAGGAUGGGGAUACAGAGCCUCCCCCAGGGCCUCUGCAGGGAACGCAACCCUGCCCACACCUUCCUUUUAGUCCCAUGAGACCCAUGUCAAACUACCGACCUCCAAACCGCAAGGUACACUUGGGUUUUGGUUUUUGGGUUUGUUUUUUUUUUUGAGAUGGAGUAUUGCUCUGUCACCCAGGCUGGAAGUGCAGUGGCACGAUCUUGGGUCACUGCAACCUCCACCUCCUGGGUUCAGGCACUUCUCUGGUCUCAGCCUCCCAAGUAGCUGGGAUUACAGGCAUGUGCCACCACACCUGGAUAAUUUUUGUAUUUUUAGUAGAGAUGGGGUUUCGCCAUGUUGGCCAGGCUUGUCGUGAACUCCUGACCUCAAGUGAUUCAGCCGCCUCAGCAUCCCAAAGUGUUGGGAUGACAGGUGUGAGCCAUACCUGGCCUAAACUUGUGUUGUUUUAAAUCACUGAGGUGGCGGUGACCUAUCCCAGCAGCAAUUGGAACCUAACACAGAUGGCCUUUUCCAGCUGGGGACUUCCCCUUCUGUUCCUGGGUUGUGAGAGUCUUUAUCAGGAACAGGUGUGGGACUUUUGUGCUGUGCUUUUCUGCAUUGAUUGAGAUGUAUCUUGUGGGUGCCUUUUUUUUUUUUUUUUUUUUUGGAAACAGGCUCUGGCUGUUUCCCAGGCUAGAGUGCAGUGGCACGAUCUCAGCUCACUGGACUUGCACCUCCUGGGCGCAAAUGAUCCUCUGGUUUCAGCCUUGUGAGUAGCUAAGACCAUAAGCAUGCCCUCCCAUCCAUGCCUGGCUAAUUUUUGUUUUUUUUGUUUGUUUAUUUUGGUAGAGACAGGGUUUCGCUAUAUUGCCCAGGCUAGUCUUGAACUCCUGGGCUCAAGCAAUCCGCCCACCUCAGCCUCCCAAAGUGUUGGGAUUACAGGCAUCUGUUUUUCUAUUAAUGUGGCUUAUGACGUUAAGUGCUUCGUAGAUGUUUAAGCAACCUCACUUUGCUGUGAUACACCCACGUGGUCGUGGUGUAUGAUGUUGCCGAGUUUGGGUUGCUAAUAUUUUGUUAAGGAUCUUUAUGUCUGUAUUCAUGAUGGACAUUGUUCUGUGGGGUGGGGGCGCGGAUCAUGAUGCCUUUCGCUGCCUUUAGCCUCUUAGACUCAGAUGGGCGUGUCUCAUCCUCCACAUUCUGAAGAUUGUGAAUGGUUGGUGUUAUUGACAGUAUACAGUGGCAGCCACGUGGGCACAGGCUUUCUGUAGGAAGACUCAGGACUUUUCAUUACUAUAAUUUCUUGUUAUAGGUCUAUUUAGAUUUUCUAUUAAAUUUCUCAGAUUUCUGAGCCAAUUUAAGUGAUUUGUGUCCCUCUAGGAGUUUGUCAGUUUCACCUAAUUUGUUGGUACAGAGUUUUCCUAGUAUUCCAAGUCCUGUUCAUUUCUUUUUCUUUCUUUUUUUUCUUUUUUUGAGACGGAGUCUUGCUCUUUUGCCCCGGCUGGAGUGCAGUGGUGCGAUCUCAGCUCACUGCAAGCUCCACCUCCCAGGUUCAUGCCAUUCUCCUGCCUCAGCCUCUCUAGUAGCUGGGACUACAGGCGCCCACCACCAUGCCCGGCUAAUUUUUUGUAGUUUUAGUAGAGACGGGGUUUCACCAUGUUAGCCAGGAUGAGUCUGGAUCUCCUGAUCUCGUGAUCCACCUGCCUCAGCCUUCCAAAGUGCUGGGAUUACAGGCGUGAGCCACUCUGCCCGGCCAAGUCCUGUUCAUUUCUGUAGGAUUGGUAGUGAUGUCCCCUCUUUCAUGCUUUUGGUAGUCAGUCUAGCUAAGAGUUUGCCAAUUUUGUUGAUCUUUUCAAGGAACCAACUUUUGGUUUUUCUGCUUUCUAGUUUACUAAUUUCCUCUCUAAUCUUUCUUUAGGUUUCAUUUGUUCUUCUUUCUAAUUUAAGGUAGAAUUGUACUUUUUUUCUUUUUUGAGACAAAGUCUCACUCUGUCACUCAGGCUGGAGUGCAAUGGCAUGAUCUUGGCUCACUGCAACCUCUGCUUCCCAUGUUCAAGCGAUUCUCGU
rnacentral:lncRNA from 1 species